UAGAAUUACUCGAGUCUGAGUUUCUUAACUCAAUCUUGUAGACAUUUUACCUUUUGUAGAGUAGUUACAGUAACCGGAGCACAGACAGAGAGACGUGGUGUGUGGUAUAUUUUAUUCCAGAAAGGGUUUGAUCCCAUCAGAUCAACCUGAAAGGUUUUUGGUAUCUAUCAGCUUAGAGAAUUGUAUACUGUAGUUAGAAGAAUACUGCAGAUGAUUUAUUGUAACAGUUAUCAACUGGUAAUAAAAGUAUUCCAAGUCUUCUAGGAUGUGUUGGUGACCGAUAGGGUAAUAGACACAGAUUAAUGGAGCCCCCAGUGGGGAUCGAACUCACGACCCCUGGUUUACACACAUUCGGAAUAAUUGUUUUAAAAUAUGUCUGGUCUAUAUAGGCAUAUAUUUAUAGUGCAUGUUUCAACUCUUCGUCAAAAUUUAUUCAUCAUCUUUUAUGGCUCUUUUAUACACUUCAGUGCAUGAUUAUCGAACACUUCCUAAUUCUUAUAAUGUAUAUAUACUUAAUUGCAAGUGGAAUAUAAAAACGUGGUGUAUGAUAUAUCAAAAUGGUGUAGUACUUAUAUAAAGUUUCUUGUAACUCUUACUAGAGUGACCAUUUACAUAAUUUUU